rnacentral:rRNA from 1 species
GACGAACGCUGGCGGCGUGCCUAAUACAUGCAAGUCGAACGCAGUGGGGACGGGUGAGUAACACGUGGGUAACCUCCCAUCAGAGGGGAUAACACUUGGAAACAGGUGCUAAACCGAUACUGAUGGAUGGACCCGCGGUGCAUUAGCUAGUUGGUGAGGUAACGGCUCACCAAGGCCACGAUGCAUAGCCGACCUGAGCGGUUGGGCGGCCACACUGGGACUGAGAGACGGCCCAGACUCCUACGGGAGGCAGCGGUGGGGAAUCGUCGGCAAUGGACGAAGGUCUGACCGGGCAACGCCGCGUGGGGUGAGAAGUUAUUCGGAUCGUAAUACUCUGUUGUUAGAGAAGCGGUAUCUAACCAGAAAGCAACGGCUAACUACGUGCCAGCAGCCGCGGUAAUAC